AGCGAACGCUGGCGGCAGGCCUAACACAUGCCAGUCGAACGAACCUUUCGGGGUUAGUGGCGGACGGGUGAGUAACACGUGGGAACGUUCCUUUAGGUUCGGAAUAACUCAGGGAAACUUGUGCUAAUACCGAAUGUGCCCUUCGGGGGAAAGAUUAAUCGCCUUUAGAGCGGCCGGAGUCUGAUUAGCUAGUUGGUUGAUGUAAUGGCUCACCAAGGCGACGAUCAGUAGCUGGUCGGAGAGGAUGAUCAGCCACAUUGGGACUGAGACACGGACCAAACUCCUACGGGAGGAAGCAGUGGGGAAUCUUGCGCAAUGGGCGAAAGACGGACGCAGCCAGGCCGCGUGAAUGAUGAAGGUCUUAGGAUUGGAAAAUUCUUUCGACGGGGACGAUAAUGACGGUACCCGGAGAAGAAGCCCCGGCUAACUUCGUG
rnacentral:rRNA from 1 species